rnacentral:rRNA from 1 species
UACGAAGGGAGCUAGCGUUGUUCGGAAUUACUGGGCGUAAAGCGCGCGUAGGUGGCGGUGCAAGUCAGGGGUGAAAUCCCAGAGCUUAACUCUGGAAUUGCCUUUGAAACUGCAUCGCUUGAGUAUCGGAGGGGAUGGUGGAAUUUCUAAUGUAGCGGUGAAAUGCGUAGAUAUUAGAAGGAACACCGGUGGCGAAGGCGACCAUCUGGACGAUUACUGACACUGAGGUGCGAAAGCGUGGGGAUCAAACAGG